rnacentral:rRNA from 1 species
GGGGAAAAAAAAUUCCAGGGCCCUACGGGGCGCAGCAGGCGCGAAACCAUCCGCAAUGUGAGAAAUCGCGACGGGGGGAUCCCAAGUGCCAUUCUUAACGGGAUGGCUUUUCAUUAGUGUAAAGAGCUUUUGGAAUAAGAGCUGGGCAAGACCGGUGCCAGCCGCCGCGGUAACACCGGCAGCUCUAGUGGUAGCAGUUAUUAUUGGGCCUAAAGCGUCCGUAGCCGGUUUAAUAAGUCUCUGGUGAAAUCCUGUAGCUUAACUAUGGGAAUUGCUGGAGAUACUAUUAGACUUGAGAUCGGGAGAGGUUAGAGGUACUCCCAGGGUAGAGGUGAAAUUCUGUAAUCCUGGGAGGACCGCCUGUUGCGAAGGCGUCUAACUGGAACGAUUCUGACGGUGAGGGACGAAAGUUAGGGGCGCGAACCGGAUUAGAUACCCGGGUAGUCCUAACUGUAAACGAUGCGGACUUGGUGUUGGGAUGGCUUUGAGCUGUCUCAGUGCCGAAGGGAAGCUGUUAAGUCCGCCGCCUGGGAAGUACGGUCGCAAGACUGAAACUUAAAGGAAUUGGCGGGGGAGACACCACAACGCGUGGAGCCUGUCGGUUUAAUUGGAUUCAACGCCGGGAAU